CCUACGAGAGGCAGCAGUGAGGAAUAUUGGUCAAUGGACGAGCGUCUGAACCAGCCAAGUAGCGUGAAGGAUGACUGCCCUAUGGGUUGUAAACUUCUUUUAUAUGGGAAUAAAACGUUCCACGUGUGUGAUUUUGUAUGUACCAUAUGAAUACGGAUCGGAUAACUCCGUGCCAGCAGCCGCGGUAAUACGGAGGAUCCGAGCGUUAUCCGGAUUUAUGGGGUUUAAAGGUCGCGUAGGUGGAUUGGUAAGUCAGUUGUGAAAGUUUGCGGCUCAACCGUAAAAUUGCGGGUGAAACUGGCAGUCUUGAGUACAGUAGAGGUGGGCGGAAUUCGUGGUGUAGCGGUGAAAUGCUUAGAUAUCACGAAGAACUCCGAUUGCGAAGGCAGUUCACUGGACUGCAACUGACACUGAGGCUCGAAAGUGUGGGUAUCAAACAGGAUUAGAUACCCGGGUAGUC
rnacentral:rRNA from 1 species